UAAGGUCACGGCAAGACGAGCCGUUUAUCAGCACGAUAGGUGCUAAGUGGAGGUGCAGUAAUGUAUGCAGCUGAGGCAUCCUAACAGACCGAGAGGUUUGAAC
rnacentral:rRNA from 1 species